rnacentral:rRNA from 1 species
CUACGGGAGGCAGCAGCCGAGAAUAUUCGACAAUGGGCGAAAGCCUGAUCGAGCGACGCCGCGUGCAGGAGGAAGUCCUUCGGGACGUAAACUGCUUUUUCCCGAGAACAACGAAAGUGAGCGUAUCGGAAGAAUAAGGGCUUGCUAACCUCGCGCCAGCAGCCGCGGUAAUACGAGGGGCCCAAGCGUUAUCCGGAUUUACUGGGCGUAAAGGGUGUGUAGGGGGCUUUGUUAGUCCGCUGUUAAAGAUUCACGCUCAACGUGAAAAAUGCGGCGGAAACGGCAUGGCUUGGAGGAUGCCAGAGGCAAGCGGAACUCUAGGUGUAGGGGUGAAAUCCGUUGAUAUCUAGGGGAACACCAAAGGCGAAGGCAGCUUGCUGGGGCAUUCCUGACCCUGAAACACGAAAGCGUGGGGAUCAAAAAGGAUUAGAUACCCGUGUAGUC